rnacentral:rRNA from 1 species
UACGUAGGGUCCGAGCGUUGUCCGGAAUUAUUGGGCGUAAAGAGCUCGUAGGCGGUCUGUCACGUCGGCUGUGAAAACACGGGGCUCAACUCCGUGCCUGCAGUCGAUACGGGCAGACUAGAGUUCGGUAGGGGAGACUGGAAUUCCCGGUGUAGCGGUGAAAUGCGCAGAUAUCGGGAGGAACACCAAUGGCGAAGGCAGCUCGCUGGGACGGUACUGACGCUGAGGCGCGAAAGCGUGGGGAGCAAACAGG